AGAGUUUGAUCCUGGCUCAGGAUGAGCGCUAGCGGCAGGCUUAACACAUGCAAGUCGAGGGGUAUAGGUUUUCGGACCUAGAGACCGGCGCACGGGUGCGUAACGCGUAUGCAAUCUACCUUUUACAGAGGGAUAGCCCAGAGAAAUUUGGAUUAAUACCUCAUAGUAUUACGACUCGGCAUCGAGAUGUAAUUAAAGUCACAACGGUAAAAGAUGAGCAUGCGUCCCAUUAGCUAGUUGGUAAGGUAACGGCUUACCAAGGCAACGAUGGGUAGGGGUCCUGAGAGGGAGAUCCCCCACACUGGUACUGAGACACGGACCAGACUCCUACGGGAGGCAGCAGUGAGGAAUAUUGGUCAAUGGGCGCAAGCCUGAACCAGCCAUGCCGCGUGCAGGAUGACGGUCCUAUGGAUUGUAAACUGCUUUUGUACAGGAAGAAACAUCUCUACGUGUAGAGACUUGACGGUACUGUAAGAAUAAGGAUCGGCUAACUCCGUGCCAGCAGCCGCGGUAAUACGGAGGAUCCAAGCGUUAUCCGGAAUCAUUGGGUUUAAAGGGUCCGUAGGCGGUUUUGUAAGUCAGUGGUGAAAGCCCAUCGCUCAACGGUGGAACGGCCAUUGAUACUGCAAGACUUGAAUUAUUAGGAAGUAACUAGAAUAUGUAGUGUAGCGGUGAAAUGCUUAGAGAUUACAUGGAAUACCAAUUGCGAAGGCAGGUUACUACUAAUGGAUUGACGCUGAUGGACGAAAGCGUGGGGAGCGAACAGGAUUAGAUACCCUAGUAGUCC
rnacentral:rRNA from 1 species